GACGAACGCUGGCGGCGUGCCUAAUACAUGCAAGUCGAGCGGAAAUUUUAUUGGUGCUUGCACCUUUAAAAUUUUAGCGGCGGACGGGUGAGUAACACGUGGGUAACCUACCUUAUAGAUCGGGAUAACUCCGGGAAACCGGGGCUAAUACCGAAUAAUACUUUUUAACACAUGUUUAAAAGUUGAAAGACGGUCUUGCUGUCACUAUAAGAUGGACCCGCGGCGCAUUAGCUAGUUGGUGAGGUAACGGCUCACCAAGGCAACGAUGCGUAGCCGACCUGAGAGGGUGAUCGGCCACACUGGGACUGAGACACGGCCCAGACUCCUACGGGAGGCAGCAGUAGGGAAUCUUCCACAAUGGACGAAAGUCUGAUGGAGCAACGCCGCGUGAGUGAAGAAGGAUUUCGGUUCGUAAAACUCUGUUGCAAGGGAAGAACAAGUAGCGUAGUAACUGGCGUUACCUUGACGGUACCUUGUUAGAAAGCCACGGCUAACUACGUGCCAGCCGCCGCGGUAAGAC
rnacentral:rRNA from 1 species